UAUCCAUUGCAAAUAUCAUCUGUACUCAAUUACAUUCGGUCCAUUAGGAGACAGAGCUUUCAGAAGUAAUAAAAGCAUCUUAAGAGAGGGUUUGCACUAGAGAGCUAAUGAUUUCUGAAGAAGACAGACAAUCGACUUGAUUCCACAGGUACUGCAGAAGGGAAAAUGUUCCAGAUGAAAUGGAAAUUAUUUCUUGAAUCGUCUCCUGAUUUCACAGAAAUAAGGGAAGUAUUAUUACUGAUUAUUCUCUAUAAAACAAGUUUAAAAACAUACCAUCAUCUGAAAAGGAAAAGUGAAAGGUUUCUAAAUUGGAUAUUUCAAUAUUGCUGAUGAGAAUGAAGUGAGCUGAUGAAUGUUGAAUCAUUGCUUGGCAGUUUUUAAACAAAUAUUAUCAUUCAUUCUCUUUCCUGCAUUGACAGAUGAUGUUUCUUGUUUAAAUGAGGCUUCCUGACUUUUGAUAAAGGCUGCUGAAAAUAGCAUUCCCCUGCCCAAGCUGUAUAUUCACUUCUAGCAUAUACUGACAGGGAGUAAAAAUUUGGGAUGCUCUGCAGUGUUCUGCCCUCUCGUGAAGGGUUUGUCUUGUGUGUGAAGUAUGAUGUACACCAUGGUAUCACUAUAUCACAUUACCCAGUGAUGAGUUUAGAAGCUGCCACUGCUGUCUAAUUCAGCAAUCCAUAUUGAAGUUGAGUAGCCUCUUUCUCCCUUAAAAGUAGGGCAUCAUUAAUUUAAAAUAACCUAUUGUGUGUGCAGCAGACUAGGCAAGGAAGUGAGUGAUAUCCUCCUGCCUUCAGCCGUGCUUCCCUGCCUGCUGGCUGCUUCCAAACAGAAGAGACAAGUCUGACGGGCUGCUUAAAUUCCUUCCCUCACUUCCUCCCAUUCUUAGGCUCCAUGCGGAGCUGGACUUUGGACUGUAAAGAACAGCUAGUUACCUCACUGAUGCUUUAUAUACUGAUUUCAGCAUGUAUAUGUUCAUUUUUGUAUCUUGUUUGUUCAUAACUAUGGAAGACUAUUGGAAGUUAGAGCUGAGGAGAUGCUUUCCUGUAGGGAGAAAGUUGUGAGGUACAAGAGUGAAAAUGGAUUUUGCAAUUGUGGAGCUGGCUGUGUGUAAGCAAACGCACUUGGAUCAUGUGGUGGUUUUCUCCUGUUACGCAGUUUUUGCAUUAUUCUUGAAAUAUUGUCAAUUUAACAUCAAGCAUCCAAAGAUAGUGCCAAUUCUAAUUUCAUCAGCAGGUGAGUGUGAAAAAUAGUCCAAUGUUUUAAACUUAGGAGUGGAAAAGCAGAAUAAUAGAAAGCCAAUUAUGUAUUAAUUGUGAUAGAGCAUUAUCUGAAUUUGAAGAGGUAGUAAUUCUGUCCAUUUAAUUAGAGACUCGACCUAACAUUUCCCACUGCUAGUGGAAAAUAUUGAUAUAAUGCAUAGGAAUCAUUAUGUUUGUUUGUGGUGGGUUUUUUGGUUGUUUGUCCUUUUCUGACUUUCUUUUUUUAAUAGCACUUGCCCAGAUGGCCAGUUAAUUAUCUUUCUGCAGGCAGAAUUAUUUAAUUUAAUGAAUUUUUAAAUGUCAGUGAUGUGAAAAACCAUUACUGUGGUUGUCAGUCCCUUACUCACCUUCAGCUUCCAUUACCCAUCACCCCCACUUUUGCUUUAAGGAGCAUCUGAAGUGACAGAGCUUUGAUUUCAGUUUAAAGUGCUGAGCACAGAAGUCUUACAAGUAAUAAAUUAUUAAAAAAUUGCAGCAAGAAAAUUAAUUUCUACUAUCGUAUGCCAUGCUGUGUGUAUCACUUCUAACAAAUGAUGGUUUUUUUCAUAUAUUCACUGAUAGAUUUACCAGGACAAAAUAAUUACUUUUUUUUUCACCUCUAAGAAAAAAUGUUUUUUCUUGUUUGUUGUGCGUGGUUUUGUUGUUUUGUUUUUAAUUGACAUAACCAUGCAAAGUGAAUGGGUUCUGUAAGAUAAAAAGAAAAAGGAAAGAAAAAUGAAGGAACUGGAAAACCACAUAAAUGAGGCACUGGCUCCCUGUCAUGUUAACAGUUUUCACCAUAGUGCUGAUCUUGUCUGGAGCUCUUGUGAAGGACAUCAGGAACAUGAAAUACAGCCUCCCAGCAUGGCCUUUCCCAAAGGCAUAAGAAAUGAAUGUUUUCUGUGGAAAUAGUAUGCAGUAUUUCAAGAGUUAGAGAGUUUAUAUUGGAUCCUAGUUGGACUGAAGAGAGAUCUAUGGUUAUGUGGUUUCCCAUGUUUCUUGCUUCUGAGAGAAACAUCUGUUUAUCCAGAGAGCCUUAGCCGGGCUUGGCAAUGAGCACGUUCCACAGCCAGAAGAAAGACCAGACAGCUAUACUCUGUGCCACUUCAUUUGAAAACUUGCCUUGAAGCACACUAAAGACUUCAUUGAGACUUUCUGACUGUGUGUUAAUGGAAUUACCCCAUAAGGAGAUGAAAAAUAAGGUAUUCUCAGAAACUGAUAGGCAAAGGAAAAUGCUGUCCUAUCCCAAGAAAUGCAAAAGAAUUAUCGAGCUUGCCUGUGCCUCUCUUGCCGUUUUGAUAUCAGGGAAACUCAUCCAGCUGUGAACCAACAGCCUUUGUAAUGGAGCUUGCAGCAGGAGUACCUCUGGAAGAUUGAAGUGUUGAGAAUAAAGUCAGUGAGAUAAAGCUUACUUUCUACCUUCAUGAAAAUAUAAUCACUUCCUGUUGUCUGAAAUAGCACGCUAGCAAGAAAUCAGAUGUGGAAGAUCUGAACCGGUGCUCCUUCACUUCUUGAUGCAGGAUCUCUCCGCAAGCGCUGUGUGCAAGUCUUGCCCUUAAAACUUUGAGCGCUGCAUAAAUUCUGCUGGUCAAGAGGCUCAGACUGUGACUGCAAAAGCACUCCCCCAUCAUUCAAGAUCGUUUCACAUGCACCUCCAAGAAUUGUGUAGUGCAUCACCUACAGAAACACCAAUUAUGCAAACUGUGGAAACAGGCAGGUUCAGCAGGAUGACGAGAUGAGCACAUUUAAGAGAUGCCUGGAAUGACAGCAGCCCAUCAGCUCUUGGGAAAAACAAACACAUCCCAAAACCACAUCAUUGCAAGUGGACUUUGUACAAGAGAAACUUUAACACGAGAAGUUGGUAAUGGCAGCGGGACACAUGCUGAAAUGAACAUACCACAGGUUACAGCAAGAUGAACACUGCAUUUCACCAGUCACCAGCCUAACAAGUUGCCAGGCUAUACGUGAAGUCCUUGC